AUGCGCUCCCGGCGGCGACGCUCGGCCUCGCUGUGGCUCUUGGACGCGGCCAGCGCCUUGGCGUCCAUGAUCUCCUGUGCGGUCAUCCGGCCGAAGUCGCCGAACGGCGACGCCCCGAAGGGCGGCGGCAUCAUCAUCCCGUGGACGGGGGAGCCGUGGUGCCCCAUGUAG
rnacentral:rRNA from 1 species